CACGUAGGGCGCAAGCGUUGUCCGGAAUUAUUGGGCGUAAAGAGCUUGUAGGCGGUUUGUCGCGUCUGCUGUGAAAAUCCGGGGCUCAACCCCGGACUUGCAGUGGGUACGGGCAGACUAGAGUGUGGUAGGGGAGACUGGAAUUCCUGGUGUAGCGGUGGAAUGCGCAGAUAUCAGGAGGAACACCGAUGGCGAAGGCAGGUCUCUGGGCCACUACUGACGCUUGGAGAAGCGGAAAAGCAUGGGGAGCGAACAGG
rnacentral:rRNA from 1 species